GUGCAUAGCAGUUGCAUUCAUCUCUGCUUGCUUGUUGGAGAAAAUAUUCGCCUGGGCGCUGGUUGUGGUGGAACUGCCAAAUCCUUGGGUAUGUCCGUGUUGUACCGACAAACUGUGCCCGUUGCUGUCGAAAUUACGGUUUGACGGGUCCUCCAUUGGUCAUUGCGAAAACUCCAGCCUUGGCAUUCAUCUGCUCAUCACCUUUUAUCACGCCGCAUUUGGCGAAUGCAGCUCCUGUCUUCGGGUCGGCACUUGAAUGACAGUCCAUUGUAAUUGGUUGUGGAUGCUGUUGAUGCUGAAACACCGAUUACUGAUAGUAUUCUGAGUGUCGCUAGUUCUCCGAUCCGCUUUUUAUAUCCCGGCAGCUGCAUCACCGCAAACUCGGUACAUUCCCGCCUAUAGUUUGCAUUGAGUAAUGGGUACAUCACACGCUUGACACUCAUUUAGAUUAAUAAAAUACAUAA